AGCUCGUAGUUGGAUUUCUGUUGAGGACGGCCGGUCCGCACUAUGUGCGUCCUUCUGGGUCGGCCUUGGCAUCCUCUUGAGGAACUUUCCUGCGCUUGAUUGCGUGGGGCGGUAUUCAAGACUUUUACUUUGAGGAAAUUAGAGUGUUCACGGCAGGCAAGCGCCUUGAAUACAUUAGCAUGGAAUAAUAAUAUAGGAUCUUGGUUCUAUUUGUUGGUUUCUAGGGCUAAGGUAAUGAUUAAUAGGGAUAAUUGGGGGCAUUUGUAUUAACGCGUCAGAGGUGGAAUUCUUGGAUUGCGUUACUACAAACUACUGCGAAAGCAUUUGCCAAGGAUGUUUUCAUUGAUCAAGAACGAAAGUAUGGGGAUCGAAGAUGAUUAGAUACCGUCGUAGCCUAUACCAUAAACUAUGCCGACUAGGGAUUGGAGGUCGUACUUUUUAUGACUCCUUCAGCACCCUAUGAGAAAUCAAAGUCU
rnacentral:rRNA from 1 species